UAACACGUGGAUAACCUACCUAUAAGACUGGGAUAACUUCGGGAAACCGGAGCUAAUACCGGAUAAUAUUUUGAACCGCAUGGUUCAAAAGUGAAAGACGGUCUUGCUGUCACUUAUAGAUGGAUCUGCGCUGCAUUAGCUAGUUGGUAAGGUAAUGGCUUACCAAGGCAACGAUGCAUAGCCGACCUGAGAGGGUGAUCGGCCACACUGGAACUGAGACACGGUCCAG
rnacentral:rRNA from 1 species